rnacentral:pre_miRNA from 1 species
GGAAUAUAAGAACCCGUCUCUUAACUUUUAACUAAAAAAAGCUAAGAACCGGUUCUUAAAUAAGAGUUUUAAGAACCGGUUCUUAGUUUUUUUAGUUAAAAAUUAAGAGACGGGUUCUUAUAUUUC